UGGCAAUACAGUGUCUACAGGGGCAGAGGGACCGAUGUGAGCAAACCAGCCGCUGCUGGGUUCCUCUGUGAAAUAGCCCUGGCCUGGCCUGGGCUCACCAUGUAGACCAGGCUGGCCUGGAACUCAGAGAUCCACCUGCCUCCGCUGGGACCAAAGGUGUUCACCACCACACCCUGCUGGCUGGCUGGCUCCUUGUUACCUCUCAGCUCAAGCGCCACCCUUCACAACCUUGGAUGAGAAAAACCCAAGCCUCGAGACUACUGGGACAAUGCCCGAGACCCCCAGCGAGGUCUAGGACUGCCUG